CCAAUUCACAGUUUGGAAGAUGAAAAAAUAAGGGAAUUACCAAGGAAACUGAUAAGCUAAAAUCGCUCUUAUCAGCAGAACACCACGACUUACAUCCACCUGAAACGGCUUCCUGGAAGCUGGAGCCGCUAUUUACUGUGGUGGGGGUGCAUAACUCAGUAUUGUGUUUACUGCAGCAAAACCAUUUCCAGACAGGGAAAAAUUUUCUCCUCCUGGCUUACAAUAAUAAGUCGAACGGCUCUAAAUCAGAGGCCACAUAAGUUGCAAACCGCUGAAUACACUUGAUGUGCGGAUGUCGUCUGGCAGCGGCUACCAGAGAAACCUCUGACUUUACUCCUUCAGCGAUUAUGAAACACAAGAUCUCAGGCUUUCUUUCCAGGAAUCGUGGGCGAAGAGGAGAGCGCUCCAAGUCGGCCCCGGCGCUACACUGAGUCCCUGUGUCAGGGCGGUGACCUCACCGAGCAGGAAUGGCGCACAGCGAGGUUUGCUCCAGCAGCACAGGCUCUGACAAAAGGGCCAUGCGGUCCUGUGCGUCCGCGCCGGGAACACAGGAGACCCCAGGCGCUGUUGGAGUCCAGCUCCACCGCCUCUCCUGCCAAGCCGUUAGAGAGACGGGACACCUCUCCUGCACCGCCGCGCUCCCUCGCCCUCCAGUGGUGGGGUUUCUGGGAAAACACACUUUUUGGGACUUCUUGCACUUUCAGAUUCAUGUAAACAAAAAUAAACCAUCCAACAAUAAAAACGGUGAGGUUGGGCUCUCAGCUCUGUUUGUUUAAUGAGCCACACCGACUUUUUGGAAGAUUAUAACAGGAUCAAAUCAUCUGUGCCAAUAUCUGCAGUGUUGCUGACAUCACAUCCUGCUGCCAGCUAGCGGAAAUGCUGGUCACCUGAACGCCACGUUUACUGGGGAGACUGGGAUGGUUUGUUGCUAGUCCUUUUGUCACAUACUGGAUUUGGAAACCAACACCCAAAAUUUGUUGUAGUGCUUUAAACGGGACACUUUCCUCAUUGGUGUCCUCACUAGAUGACGACUUCAGCAACAGAGGGACUAAAGAUAAAGACAAUCCGUCAGAAGUUGUGAGUCUGCUGCCCUCCAGUGUGACAACGUCCACACACCUCCACAGAGCAACAUGUCCAGAGGCAUCAUGGGAGUCAGGCCAGCUUUACAGUCUGCAUGCCUUGAUAAAUGCAAAAGAAUGCGAUGUGGAAAAACCCAGGUUUCCUCAUUGCCUUGAAAAUGCAAGACGACUGAACUGGUCCAAGUUCAUCAGCUUGUCCUGAUGUCAGAAAUAAAGCCAGAUAAUGCUGCAAAGUCUGCUAAAAGCUUUCUUAUUUAACUUUAACAUUAAUUUAGUAAAUGUCUAUGUCUGUAAAUGCAUUCAUGUACACAGAUUUUUGACUUUUUACAGCAUGUGCAUGUAUUCAUC